GAUGAACGCUGGCGGCGUGCCUAAUACAUGCAAGUGGAGCGAACAGACGAGGAGCUUGCUCCUCUGACGUUAGCGGCGGACGGGUGAGUAACACGUGGAUAACCUACCUAUAAGACUGGGAUAACUUCGGGAAACCGGAGCUAAUACCGGAUAAUAUAUUGAACCGCAUGGUUCAAUAGUGAAAGACGGUUUUGCUGUCACUUAUAGAUGGAUCCGCGCCGCAUUAGCUAGUUGGUAAGGUAACGGCUUACCAAGGCGACGAUGCGUAGCCGACCUGAGAGGGUGAUCGGCCACACUGGAACUGAGACACGGUCCGGACUCCUACGGGAGGCAGCAGUAGGGAAUCUUCCGCAAUGGGCGAAAGCCUGACGGAGCAACGCCGCGUGAGUGAUGAAGGUCUUCGGAUCGUAAAACUCUGUUAUUAGGGAAGAACAAAUGUGUAAGUAACUAUGCACGUCUUGACGGUACCUAAUCAGAAAGCCACGGCUAACUACGUG
rnacentral:rRNA from 1 species